rnacentral:rRNA from 1 species
UACGUAGGCAGCAAGCGUUGUUCGGAAUUACUGGGCGUAAAGAGUGUGUAGGCGGUGCUCUAAGUCUGUUGUGAAAUCUCCCGGCUUAACUGGGAGGGUGCGGCGGAGACUGGAGUGCUAGAGUGUGGGAGAGGUAAGCGGAAUUCCUGGUGUAGCGGUGAAAUGCGUAGAUAUCAGGAGGAACACCUGUGGUGUAGACAGCUUACUGGACCACGACUGACGCUGAGACACGAAGGCCAGGGGAGCAAACGGG